GUGGCAGAAUUGUUGGCAUUUAUGGCACAAAACCGGAGCUUUUCUUAUUGCAAAAUAGUGUAAGUAGUAGCUGAAAAAACUGCACCAUUAACUCCUAUGGCUGAGCUCCUUGUGAAGAUCCCAUAUAAAAGGAAAGACUCGCAGAAAUCAGAGGUCUAUACUCCGAGGAAUGCGCCUUAUGUUAGUGAGGAAAUUGAUGUGGUUCGUGAGCAAUGGGCUAAGUUUUUUACGAGCAAGUAUUUAUUAUUAAUGGCAUGAGCGAUCGAGUUGGUUUAGAUGUUAUAGAAUAAUAUUUUAUAUUAAAAUGUAUGCGUACGUUGAAAUUGAAACAUAUAAUUAAAUGUAGUACGUGCACUUUGGAUAUGUAUACAAAACACCAAUUAUUGUUUUUAUAUUUGUUCUACAGAUUGCGAUA